UACGAAGGGUGCAAACGUUGCUCGGAAUUAUUGGGCGUAAAGCGCACGUAGGCGGCUUUGCAAGUCCCAUGUGAAAGCCCACGGCUUAACCGUGGAAGUGCAUGGGAAACUGCAGAGCUUGAGUACUUAAGAGGAUCGCGGAAUUCCCGGUGUAGAGGUGAAAUUCGUAGAUAUCAGGAGGAACACCAGUGGCGAAGGCGACUCACUGGACAUGUAUUGACGCUGAGGUGCGAAAGCGUGGGGAGCAAACAGG
rnacentral:rRNA from 1 species